GCCGACAUAGCUCAGUUGGUAGAGCAACCGCCUUGUAAGCGGUAGGUCGUCUGUUCGAGUCAGACUGUCGGCACCA
rnacentral:tRNA from 1 species